UCCCCCCUAGCUCAGUUGGUAGAGCAAGUGACUGUUAAUCACUUUGUCCCUGGUUCGAGCCCAGGGGGGGGAGCCA
rnacentral:tRNA from 1 species